CCGGACCCAACAGUUCCUCUCCCAAAGUCUCUUCUACGCAUCUCAAGACUCCAGUGAACCAGUCCCCAGGCCUGAACCAGCAAACUGUACAUUUACUACGUGCUUGUGUAACAAUAAACUUGUUAACUUUU